rnacentral:rRNA from 1 species
GACGAACGCUGGCGGCGUGCUUAACACAUGCAAGUCGAACGGAAAGGCCCUGCUUUUGUGGGGUGCUCGUGUGGCGAACGGGUGAGUAACACGUGAGUAACCUGCCCUUGACUUUGGGAUAACUUCAGGAAACUGGGGCUAAUACCGGAUAGGAGCUCCUGCUGCAUGGUGGGGGUUGGAAAGUUUCGGCGGUUGGGGAUGGACUCGCGGCUUAUCAGCUUGUUGGUGGGGUAGUGGCUUACCAAGGCUUUGACGGGUAGCCGGCCUGAGAGGGUGACCGGCCACAUUGGGACUGAGAUACGGCCCAGACUCCUACGGGAGGCAGCGGUGGGGAAUAUUGCACAAUGGGCGGAAGCCUGAUGCAGCAACGCCGCGUGCGGGAUAACGGCCUUCGGGUUGUAAACCGCUUUCGCCUGUGACGAAGCGUGAGUGACGGUAAUGGGUAAAGAAGCACCGGCUAACUACGUG